UAGGGAAUCUUCGGCAAUGGGGGGAACCCUGACCGAGCAACGCCGCGUGAGUGAAGAAGGUUUUCGGAUCGUAAAGCUCUGUUGUUAAGGAAGAACGAGUGUGAGAAUGGAAAGUUCAUACUGUGACGGUACUUAACCAGAAAGGGACGGCUAACUACGUGCCAGCAGCCGCGGUAAUACGUAGGUCCCGAGCGUUGUCCGGAUUUAUUGGGCGUAAAGCGAGCGCAGGCGGUUAGAUAAGUCUGAAGUUAAAGGCAGUGGCUCAACCAUUGUAUGCUUUGGAAACUGUUUAACUUGAGUGCAGAAGGGGAGAGUGGAAUUCCAUGUGGGGCGGUUAAAUGCGUAGAUAUAUGGAGGAACACCGGUGGCGAAAGCGGCUCUCUGGUCUGUAACUGACGCUGAGGCUCGAAAGCGUGGGGAGCGAACAGG
rnacentral:rRNA from 1 species